CCUGAGAGAUGAUCAGGUAGAUAGGAUGGAAGUGGAAGUGCAGUGAUGCAUGGAGCGGACCAUUACUAAUCGGUCGAGGACUUAACCAAA
rnacentral:rRNA from 1 species